GGUUAAGCGACUAAGCGUACACGGUGGAUGCCCUGGCAGUCAGAGGCGAUGAAGGACGUGCUAAUCUGCGAUAAGCGUCGGUAAGGUGAUAUGAACCGUUAUAACCGGCGAUUUCCGAAUGGGGAAACCCAGUGUGAUUCGUCACACUAUCAUUAACUGAAUCCAUAGGUUAAUGAGGCGAACCGGGGGAACUGAAACAUCUAAGUACCCCGAGGAAAAGAAAUCAACCGAGAUUCCCCCAGUAGCGGCGAGCGAACGGGGAGCAGCCCAGAGCCUGAAUCAGUGUGUGUGUUAGUGGAAGCGUCUGGAAAGGCGCGCGAUACAGGGUGACAGCCCCGUACACAAAAAUGCACAUACUGUGAGCUCGAUGAGUAGGGCGGGACACGUGGUAUCCUGUCUGAAUAUGGGGGGACCAUCCUCCAAGGCUAAAUACUCCUGACUGACCGAUAGUGAACCAGUACCGUGAGGGAAAGGCGAAAAGAACCCCGGCGAGGGGAGUGAAAAAGAACCUGAAACCGUGUACGUACAAGCAGUGGGAGCACAGAGCAAUCUGUGUGACUGCGUACCUUUUGUAUAAUGGGUCAGCGACUUAUAUUCUGUAGCAAGGUUAACCGAAUAGGGGAGCCGAAGGGAAACCGAGUCUUAACUGGGCGUUAAGUUGCAGGGUAUAGACCCGAAACCCGGUGAUCUAGCCAUGGGCAGGUUGAAGGUUGGGUAACACUAACUGGAGGACCGAACCGACUAAUGUUGAAAAAUUAGCGGAUGACUUGUGGCUGGGGGUGAAAGGCCAAUCAAACCGGGAGAUAGCUGGUUCUCCCCGAAAGCUAUUUAGGUAGCGCCUCGUGAAUUCAUCUCCGGGGGUAGAGCACUGUUUCGGCAAGGGGGUCAUCCCGACUUACCAACCCGAUGCAAACUGCGAAUACCGGAGAAUGUUAUCACGGGAGACACACGGCGGGUGCUAACGUCCGUCGUGAAGAGGGAAACAACCCAGACCGCCAGCUAAGGUCCCAAAGUCAUGGUUAAGUGGGAAACGAUGUGGGAAGGCCCAGACAGCCAGGAUGUUGGCUUAGAAGCAGCCAUCAUUUAAAGAAAGCGUAAUAGCUCACUGGUCGAGUCGGCCUGCGCGGAAGAUGUAACGGGGCUAAACCAUGCACCGAAGCUGCGGCAGCGACGCUGAUGCGUUGUUGGGUAGGGGAGCGUUCUGUAAGCCUGCGAAGGUGUGCUGUGAGGCAUGCUGGAGGUAUCAGAAGUGCGAAUGCUGACAUAAGUAACGAUAAAGCGGGUGAAAAGCCCGCUCGCCGGAAGACCAAGGGUUCCUGUCCAACGUUAAUCGGGGCAGGGUGAGUCGACCCCUAAGGCGAGGCCGAAAGGCGUAGUCGAUGGGAAACAGGUUAAUAUUCCUGUACUUGGUGUUACUGCGAAGGGGGGACGGAGAAGGCUAUGUUGGCCGGGCGACGGUUGUCCCGGUUUAAGCGGGUAGGCUGGUUUUCCAGGCAAAUCCGGAAAAUCAAGGCUGAGGCGUGAUGACGAGGCACUACGGUGCUGAAGCAACAAAUGCCCUGCUUCCAGGAAAAGCCUCUAAGCAUCAGGUAACAUCAAAUCGUACCCCAAACCGACACAGGUGGUCAGGUAGAGAAUACCAAGGCGCUUGAGAGAACUCGGGUGAAGGAACUAGGCAAAAUGGUGCCGUAACUUCGGGAGAAGGCACGCUGAUAUGUAGGUGAAGCGACUUGCUCGUGGAGCUGAAAUCAGUCGAAGAUACCAGCUGGCUGCAACUGUUUAUUAAAAACACAGCACUGUGCAAACACGAAAGUGGACGUAUACGGUGUGACGCCUGCCCGGUGCCGGAAGGUUAAUUGAUGGGGUCAGCGCAAGCGAAGCUCUUGAUCGAAGCCCCGGUAAACGGCGGCCGUAACUAUAACGGUCCUAAGGUAGCGAAAUUCCUUGUCGGGUAAGUUCCGACCUGCACGAAUGGCGUAAUGAUGGCCAGGCUGUCUCCACCCGAGACUCAGUGAAAUUGAACUCGCUGUGAAGAUGCAGUGUACCCGCGGCAAGACGGAAAGACCCCGUGAACCUUUACUAUAGCUUGACACUGAACAUUGAGCCUUGAUGUGUAGGAUAGGUGGGAGGCUUUGAAGUGUGGACGCCAGUCUGCAUGGAGCCGACCUUGAAAUACCACCCUUUAAUGUUUGAUGUUCUAACGUUGACCCGUAAUCCGGGUUGCGGACAGUGUCUGGUGGGUAGUUUGACUGGGGCGGUCUCCUCCUAAAGAGUAACGGAGGAGCACGAAGGUUGGCUAAUCCUGGUCGGACAUCAGGAGGUUAGUGCAAUGGCAUAAGCCAGCUUGACUGCGAGCGUGACGGCGCGAGCAGGUGCGAAAGCAGGUCAUAGUGAUCCGGUGGUUCUGAAUGGAAGGGCCAUCGCUCAACGGAUAAAAGGUACUCCGGGGAUAACAGGCUGAUACCGCCCAAGAGUUCAUAUCGACGGCGGUGUUUGGCACCUCGAUGUCGGCUCAUCACAUCCUGGGGCUGAAGUAGGUCCCAAGGGUAUGGCUGUUCGCCAUUUAAAGUGGUACGCGAGCUGGGUUUAGAACGUCGUGAGACAGUUCGGUCCCUAUCUGCCGUGGGCGCUGGAGAACUGAGGGGGGCUGCUCCUAGUACGAGAGGACCGGAGUGGACGCAUCACUGGUGUUCGGGUUGUCAUGCCAAUGGCACUGCCCGGUAGCUAAAUGCGGAAGAGAUAAGUGCUGAAAGCAUCUAAGCACGAAACUUGCCCCGAGAUGAGUUCUCCCUGACUCCUUGAGAGUCCUGAAGGAACGUUGAAGACGACGACGUUGAUAGGCCGGGUGUGUAAGCGCAGCGAUGCGUUGAGCUAACCGGUACUAAUGAACCGUGAGGCUUAACCUU
rnacentral:rRNA from 1 species